rnacentral:misc_RNA from 2 species
AGCAGCCGCGGUAAUUCCAGCUCCAAUAGCGUAUAUUAAAGUUGUUGCAGUUAAAAGCUCGUAGUUGAACUUCAGGCCUGUCCAGAUGGUCCGCCUUAAUUGGUGUGUACUGUCCUUGGGUGGGUCCUACCUUCUGGCGAAGCGGCAUGGCCUUAGUUGGUUGUGUUGGGGAACCAGGACUUUUACUGUGAAAAAAUUAGAGUGUUCAAAGCAGGCAUAAUAUGCUCGAAUACAUUAGCAUGGAAUAAUGGAAUAGGACGAUGGUUCUAUUUUGUUGGUUCUAGGACCGUUGUAAUGAUUAAUAGGGAUAGUUGGGGGCAUUAGUAUUCAAUUGUCAGAGGUGAAAUUCUUGGAUUUAUUGAAGACUAACUACUGCGAAAGCAUUUUGCCAAGGAUGUUUUCAUUAAUCAAGAACGAAAGUUAGGGGAUCGAAGACGAUCAGAUACCGUCGUAGUCUUAACCAUAAACUAUGCCGACUAGGAAUCGGGCGAUGUUGACAAAAUGACUCGCUCGGCACCUC